CCGCGGUGGUAACUGCGCCGGGGCUGUGUGUGUAGGCAGCAGCGCCAGAGGAAGAGGAGCACGAGGAUGCAGCUGCGACCGUGGCCCCAAGAGGGAGCAGCCACUGUUCUGUGGUCGCGGGGGCCACGAAAUUGGAAUUAAGCCUGGGGGUCCUGUUGUUGAGGGGACCAGGGCAGGCGAUCCUGCCCCAAGCUCCGGCCUAGUAUCCGGGAAGAGUUCGGUCCGCUGGGCGAAGGCCUGCCGCCUUUGCUUCCUCCUGGCCCUCCAAGUCGAUGGUGGUGAAGUUGGUGGCCGCCAGAGGCACAAGCACCAGGCUGCUUCUCAUGCACCGAGCGCCUUUCUGGCCCUGCUUGGACAGCUGCGACGCCGCCUCCUCUCGCCGGUGGAUCCCACCCUCAGCGGCGGGGGAGGGGGAAAGUUUUCCCCUCCGCAGGGGCUGUGUGGUGCAGGGCGACAACAAGACCUUAGGAGAGUAGGGCAAAUGGAAAGCAUCACAGAAGAUAACAACUGGUCACAAUGAGGAGAUCAUGGAAUUGUGGGAAGCCCAGCCCCAAUAGAUCCACCUACAUUUCUGUUCCUGCAUCUAUGGCUCAGGGAACAUCAAUGAAGCGGGGCAGAAAAACUAUAAGAGCCAGAAUAUCACAAAAUCGGCUGUGAAACAGUCUCUCCUAGAAACAGCUGCUUAAAGAAGACCAGAACAAUGGCCAUAUCAAUAGACAUGGAAGAAGCCAACAAUUGAGUUUUCUCCUGAUUAUACUAUGCUGAGCUGGACAAAGAGAUCAUGAUGCAACAUGACCAAACAUCUCACAGUCUUGCUGCCAUAUCUUCACUGCCAUGAUGGACUGUAUCCAUUCAAACUCAAAUGAAGACCAUUGUAGAAAAGCACAACUAGACACAAUGGAAGAGAUCAACAGACUGUGUGGAAUCCAGCCCUAAUGGAUGCAUCUACAUCACAGCUCCGGUAUCUGUUACUCAGGGAACAUCACAGAAGAGGAGGCAGAAAAAUUGUAAGAGCCAGAGUACCAAAUGUCUGCUGUGAAACAGUCUCUUCUAGAAAUGGCCACAUAAACAAGACUAGAACAAUGGCAAUAUCAAUAGACAAUAAUAGACAAUCAAUAGACAAUAAUAUAAUAAAAGAAAAAGAAGUUAUCAUCCCAUGAACUUAAGAGUGGGGGUCCACUGGAAGGGUUUAAUGGAGGGUAGCUGCGAGGGGCUGGAGGAAAGGGAAGAGGGAAAGAGUGGUGUAAGUCUAUUUCUGUUAAAACCAUAAUGGUUAAAAAAGCGCUUCCCCACCAGGCGGUGAUGGCACAUGCCUUUAAUCGCAGCACUCGGGAGGCAGAGGCAGGCG